rnacentral:rRNA from 1 species
UACCGAAUGUUGUGGAACCUUCCGCAGUGGAAGCUCCCAACCAAAGAUGACCUCUUCCUGAAAGUUAUCGCUCAAAGAUGGGUCUGCGUCUGAUUAGCUAGUUGGUGGGGCAACGGCCUACCAAGGCGACGAUCAGUAGCCGGUCUGAGAGGAUGAACGGCCACAUUGGAACUGAGACACGGUCCAGACUCCUACGGGAGGCAGCAGUGGGGAAUCUUCCGCAAUGGGCGAAAGCCUGACGGAGCAACGCCGCGUGAGUGAAGAAGGCCUUCGGGUCGUAAAGCUCUGUUGUCGGGGACGAAUGUACGAACUAUCAACAACGGUUCGUAAUGACGGUACCUGACGAGGAAGCCACGGCUAACUACGUG